rnacentral:tRNA from 1 species
GGCCUCAUAGGAUAACUGGUUAUUCCGCAGCCCUGUCACGGCUGAGAUUCCGGGUUCAAGCCCCGGUGGGGUCG